rnacentral:rRNA from 1 species
GUGGGGAAUAUUGCGCAAUGGGGGGAACCCUGACGCAGCAACGCCGCGUGAGCGACGAAGGCCUUCGGGUCGUAAAGCUCUGUCAAGAGGGACGAAGUCUAAUAAGCCAAUACCUUAUUAGGUGACGGUACCACUGAAGGAAGCCCCGGCUAACUACGUGCCAGCAGCCGCGGUAAUACGUAGGGGGCGAGCGUUGUCCGGAAUUACUGGGCGUAAAGGGCGUGUAGGCGGCUAAGUAAGUCAGGUGUGAAAACUCUGGGCUCAACCUAGAGAUUGCACCUGAAACUGCGUAGCUUGAGGGUAGGAGAGGAAAGUGGAAUUCCUAGUGUAGCGGUGAAAUGCGUAGAUAUUAGGAGGAACACCAGUGGCGAAGGCGACUUUCUGGCCUAACCCUGACGCUGAGGCGCGAAAGCGUGGGGAGCAAACAGG